rnacentral:tRNA from 1 species
GUUUAAGUAGUUUAUUAAAAACAUUGGUCUUGUAAGCCAAAGAAAAGAUAAUUUUUUUUUUAAACA